rnacentral:rRNA from 1 species
GGUCAAGCGAACAAGGGCGCAGGGCGAAUGCCUUGGCACUGGGAGCCGAUGAAAGACGUGAUAAGCUGCGAUAAGCUUCGGGGAGCUGCAAAUAAGCAUUGAUCCGGAGAUUUCUGAAUGAGGAAACUCACCUGGGUUCAUACUCAGGUACAAUACAUUGAAAUUUAAAAUAGGUGUAUUGAGGGAACCGCCUGAACUGAAACAUCUAAGUAGGGCGAGGAAGAGACAUCAAACGAGAUUCCGUAAGUAGUGGCGAGCGAACGCGGAAGAGGGCAAACCGAGAGUAGAAAUACUUUCGGGGUACGGACUGCUUUUAAGACUCAAUCUGUUAACCGAACGGCAUGGGAAGGCCGGUCAGAGAGUGUGAGAACCACGUAGGUGAAAACGGAGAGAGCUGCGCAGGAUCCAGAGUACGGCCAGACACGUGAAACCUGGUCGGAAUACGGGGGGACCACCCUCCAACCCUAAAUACUACCCAGUGACCGAUAGCGUAUAGUACUGUGAAGGAAAGGUGAAAAGCACCCCGGGAGGGGAGUGAAAAAGAACCUGAAACCCUGUGCCUACAAGCACCUAGAGCGCGUCAAAGCGUGAUAGGGUACUUUUUGUAGAACGGUCCGGCGAGCGAUUGUAUGCAGCAAGGUUAAGGACUUAAGGUCUGGAGCCGAAGCGAAAGCGAGUUUGAAAAGGGCGUUAAGUUGCAUAUAAUGGGCCCGAAACCGGGUGACCUACCCAUGGUCAGGUUGAAGUGGAAGUAAAAUUCCAUGGAGGACCGAACCGACCUCCGUUGAAAAGGCGGCGGAUGAACUGUGGGUAGCGGAGAAAUUCCAAUCGAACCCGGAGAUAGCUGGUUCUCCCCGAAAUAGUUUUAGGACUAGCCUCAAGUUAGAUACCUGGAGGUAAAGCACUGAAUAGCCUAGCGGCCGAGAGGUUAGCGAAGCUUAUCAAACUCAGAAUGCCAGAGUAUUGAUGCUUGGGAGUCAGACAGUGUCAGAUAAAUGUCAUUGUCAAAAGGGAAACAGCCCAGAUCUACAGCUAAGGUCCCAAAGUCAGGUUAAGUGGAAAACGAUGUGAAGAUACGCAGACAACCAGGAUGUUGGCUCAGAAGCAGCCACUCAUUCAAAGAGUGCGUAAUAGCUCACUGGUCGAGCGUCUUUGCGCGGAGAAUUUAACGGGGCUAAACCUGACACCGAAGCUUAGGCAAUACAGCAAUGUAUUGGGUAGGGGAGCGUUGUAUACGCGGAGAAACAGUAGCGCAAGCGGCUGUGGAGUGUAUAGAAGUGAGAAUGCCGGAAUGAGUAGCGCGAAUGCAGUGAGAAUCUGCAUGGCCGAAAGCCUCAGGUUUCUGGAGGAAGGUUCGUCCGCUCCAGGUUAGUCGGGAGCUAAGGUGAGGCCGAAAGGCGUAGCCGAUGCACAGACGGUAGAGAUUCCGUCACCACCAAAAGAGUUAAGCACAGGGACACAUAUGAAGUCUCAGAGCCGGGUGUUGGUUCCGGUAGAGAUCGAGGGAAAUUAGUACCGAAGUCUGAGAUGGAAGAUGGCGAGAAAAGCUGUGUGUAUUUCUGAGGUGCCCGUACCGCAAACCGACACAGGUAGGUAGGAAGAAGAUUCUAAGGCCAACGGGAGAAGGGUUGUUAAGGAACUCGGCAAAUUGACCCCGUAACUUCGGGAGAAGGGGUGCUCCAGAGAUGGAGCCGCAGAGAAUCGGCCCAAGCAACUGUUUACCAAAAACACAGGUUUGUGCUAAAUCGAAAGAUGACGUAUACGAGCUGACGCCUGCCCGGUGCUGGAAGGUUAAGAGGAGAUGUGCAAGCAUUGAAUCGAAGCCCCAGUGAACGGCGGCCGUAACUAUAACGGUCCUAAGGUAGCGAAAUUCCUUGUCAGGUAAGUUCUGACCCGCAUGAAAGGCGUAAUGAUUUGGGCACUGUCUCAACAGCCCGCCCGGCGAAAUUGUAGUACCGGUGAAGAUGCCGGUUACCCGCGACAAGACGGAAAGACCCCAUGGAGCUUUACUGUAGCCUAAUAUUGGGUUUCGAUGUUGCAUGCACAGGAUAGAUGGGACUCUUGGAAACCAAGGCUUUGGCUUUGGCGGAGAGGCCGUUGGGAUACCAUCCUUGCGAUAUUGGAAUUCUAACCUGCGGCUCUGAAUCGAGUCGGGGGACAUUGUUAGGUGGGCAGUUUGACUGGGGCGGUCGCCUCCUAAAGAGUAACGGAGGCGUUCAAAGGUUCGCUCAGCUUGAACGGAAAUCAAGCAAAAGAGUGCAAACGCAGAAGCGAGCCUAACUGCGAGACUGACGGGUCGAGCAGUAACGAAAGUUGGAGUUAGUGAUCCGGUGGUAUGUGAGUGGAAAUGCCAUCGCUCAACGGAUAAAAGUUACCCUGGGGAUAACAGGCUGAUCUCCCCCAAGAGUCCACAUCGACGGGGAGGUUUGGCACCUCGAUGUCGGCUCAUCGCAUCCUGGGGCUGUAUUCGGUCCCAAGGGUUUGGCUGUUCGCCAAUUAAAGCGGUACGCGAGCUGGGUUCAGAACGUCGUGAGACAGUUCGGUCCCUAUCUGUCGUGGGCGCAGGAUAUUUGAUGGGAGCUGUCCCUAGUACGAGAGGACCGGGACGGACGUACCUCUGGCGCACCAGUUGUUCCGCCAGGAGCAUAGCUGGGCAACUACGUACGGAUCGGAUAAACGCUGAAAGCAUCUAAGCGUGAAGCCGACCCAAAGAUAAGAUAUCCCACUGAUUGAAUCAGGUAAGAUCCCUUGUAGACUACGAGGUUGAUAGGCACGAUGUGUAAGUGGAGUGAUCCAUUCAGCAAGUGUGUACUAAUAGAUCGAGGGCUUGACCAC